rnacentral:rRNA from 1 species
AUGUAUAGAGGGUUAAUCCAGACCGAUGUGCCAGUUGUUAAUAACAAGAAGAUCUGGAAGAUGAAAAUACCUCUUAAGAAUAAAAUUUUUGCAUGGUAUCUUCGUCACGGAGUCAUUCUUACUAAAGAUAACCUUAUUAAGAGGAAUUGGCAUGGAAGCCUGCAAUGUGUAUUUUGUCACCAUGGGGAGACAAUUAAAUGUUUAUUCUUCCAAUGC